GUAGCAAAACUCCAACCUAAUGUGGCAAUUCCUAACAUAAUAAUGCCAUAAUCACGGAAGUCACCCGCUCUAGCUUAUGAUCAACAUCCCACUAACAUAUAUUGCAGGGAUUUGCAAGUGCAGUUAUCCCCAAAGGAACUAUGGUUGUUGAUAUAAAAGCAAUGCUGCAUUCAAAGAAAAAGCAAAUACUGACCGGCUGUUAGUAAAAUUCAGCGGCACCAACAAGUAGUCCAGUACAAACUACACGAGGAAAAGAGUAAUAUAUUUGAAAUCGAAAGAGUUGCUUUACUAAGAUAGAUAUUAUAAUAAUUUCAUUAUUGCCUUCCUAAUUAUAUAGUUCGUCGUAGAUUAGCAUAAAAAAUAAUAGCGAUGCUACAAUUACAAGCAAAAUCCUUGCUUCGAGAGAGAAAGACACGCUUGUAAGCUCUAAAAGGUAAUUAGUGGUAGAAUAUCCAAAUGUAUAGAGGAUAAAUAUAAGGGAUAUACUUAAAUAACUUUUAAUUAUAGAAUAUAAAUUUAUUUUUUACUAAAAUAUUUCAUUUUGCGUGCCA